rnacentral:ncRNA from 2 species
GUCUGAUAAAGGUGCCGAAAUGUACUAUCACUGAUACCAUAAAGGGAGUCCAUGUAUUUAGACAGCAGGUCGGUGCCCCUAAAAGCAGGUAUCCGCUAAAGAGUGUGUUAAAACUCACCUGCCGAAUACUAGGGCCCCGAAAAUGAAUGGCGCAUAUAGUACUACCGAUCUCAGACAUCAGUUCUAUUGAACUGAGAGUAGGGGGAUGUGGACAUUUUUGUGAAGGUGCAAUGUGAGUUGGACUGGAAGAAUGUCUAUUACAGAUCCUAAUUGAAGUAGCGAUUAUCCAGGCUUGUAUCCUGGGGGCUGAUGAGGAGUAGGGUUUCUGGACAACUUAAACAGAUCCAGAGUUAGUCGAUCCUAAUCUCAAUAAUGGGAGAAAGGGAGUACAGUUGAUAUUCUGUAACUGACAACAGUUCGCGGCAACGCAUACUAUUUUUCUCCGCCAAUCUUAUACCGUUGGUAGGGAUCUCUUUCCUACAUGACAGUACUAAUACCCAGGGAAACUGGUCAUCAGGCGAACUGCGGCGUUCUGCUGGCAAAACAUAGCUUCGGUUAUGUCAAUGGCUAUUGGAUUGGUCCAUGAAGCGAAAAAUAGUUUACUGUGUCACUCGUACCGAUAACCGCAUCAGGUCUUCUAGGUAAGUAGCCUAUGGCCAUUGAGGCAUGAUAGUUCAGGGAAUUCGGCCAAUUAGAGCUGUAACUUCGGGAUAAAGCUUGGCUCUGAUGAAAAUCAGAACCGAUUGUUACGCGGAGAGCCCAACUGUUUAAUAAAAACGUAGUGUCGCGCUGUGGUAGUAUAGCCAGUGAACGCGACAUGAAUCCUGCUCAGUGCUGUGUCUGUUAAUAUGGUUCAAGCCAACGAAGCACCGGUAAAUAGCUGGGGUAACUAUGACUCUUAUCAAAGUAGCGAAAUACCUCGUCACUUAAUUAGUGACCUGCAUGAACGGAGCUAUGAGGUUCUCACUGUCCCAAACUGUCUCUCAGCGAACCAACUGUAGGGGAACGGUCACUAGAUAUCCAGCG